rnacentral:rRNA from 1 species
UACGGAGGGGGCUAGCGUUGUUCGGAAUUACUGGGCGUAAAGCGCACGUAGGCGGCUUUGUAAGUUAGAGGUGAAAGCCCGGGGCUCAACUCCGGAACUGCCUUUAAGACUGCAUCGCUAGAAUUGUGGAGAGGUGAGUGGAAUUCCGAGUGUAGAGGUGAAAUUCGUAGAUAUUCGGAAGAACACCAGUGGCGAAGGCGGCUCACUGGUCCGGUACUGACGCUGAGGUGCGAAAGCGUGGGGAGCAAACAGG